CAAGUCCCAGGUUGUCAUUUGUGCUUCUGACUGACCAACUAUAAAUCAGGGUUUCCAUGACCCCCUCCUUGGAUUGUAUUAAUUUGCUAGAGUGGCUCACAGAACUCGGGAAAACAAUUUCUUUACAUUUAUCUAUUCAUUGUAAAGGAUAUUACAAAGAAUACAGAUGACAGAUGAACAGCUAAAUGGAAACAAUACAUAGGGCAAGGCACUGGGCUGAGGUGAACCCUUCAAAUAAAAGAGGACAACCUACUAACAAAACAAUGAGGCAGAAGAAGUGGGUGCUAAGAGGAAAAGUAACUAAGAGGAGAAGUAACUAUUAGCAAUUACUUGUUGCCAGUAAAUGAAGGAUGAGAGACGGAGUAAUAAAGGUAACUGAUGGUUUCCACGUUAUUCUGAUGCAGAAAAAAAAGUACGAAGAUAAUGGACAGUUUUUGCUCUAAAAAAUUGAGUAUAUGUGAUGAUGUAAUAUGAAGCAGGAAAAACAUUUGGAAGAACAAUCUAAUGGGGGAAAAAGGUGAAUUUAUCUUAGAACCUUCAGCUUUGUCUAUGAAAAUAAGAUAUAUAAAUACCUGCCUAAGUACUUCUCAGUUUAUUUAAGAACACUGAAUUAUAUGGUGAUGCUUAUAACUCUAAAACAUCUGCAAAUUUUAAAACAAUCUUACUCCAAAUGAAUGAAAAUCCACAAUGAUGUGAACUCAUUUAGUCUGUACACUUGAGAAAUUCUGAGGAUCCUUCAGGAAGCAAAUGGCUACUCCAGUACAUCUGGCACAGAGUAGAUAAUUAAUAUAUAUUUGUUGGGUGAAAUAAUAAAAUAAUUAAUGCACAGAUUCAUGGUAAGAUUAUUUAUUAUUAAAUUUACAUACAAUACAAAUGAGAGAAAGCAGAACUGCAUUAAUGCGAAAGAUAGUUAAAUUGAUAAACAUUAAUUUCUUAGGCUUGUAGAGUUUUACCCUGGGAAAUAGUUCAUAAAAGGAGAAAUGGUUUUUAUAAGACAAGUUGCUGCUUCCUAACUUGGAUCAUUUAUAGCAGGCUCAUACACGAAGUUCAGUAGAAAUAGGAAUGAGGGAGCAGUGUUUUAUCUCAGAAAAACAAUCCUUAAAAUUCUAAUGAGUACAUAUACUAUCUCUCCUUCGGUUGUUCAAAGCAUCUAUUUAUCCUCAGGCAUGUGGUUGUUCUCUGUGAUUUUAUCAGUAACUCUCCAAUUUAAUUUUUUUUUCAUUCACUACUUUUCAAACCCUAGCUAAGAUUCUCCACCUAUUUUAAUAAAAAGAUAAAUGUUGACUUUACUCUUUGGUCGAAAGUUCUACUUAGAUUCAAAGUUAGCUAAAUCAUUUUCUUAAAUUGUAUUUUUAUUCUUAAUCUCAUGACCACACCACCUCACGAAAUGUCAUUUUCCCCUCCAUUCUCCUUUAAUAUGUUUGCAGUUAUAGUAUCUGUCUUAGUCUGAUCAGGCUGCCUUAACAAAAUACCACAGACUGGGUGUCUUAUAAACCAUGGAAAUUUAUUUCUCAUAGUUCUGAAGGCUGGGAUGUCCAAGAUCCAGGAAGCUGCAGAUUCCAUGUCUGAUGAGGGCCCACUUCCUGGCUCAUAGAUGACCAUCUCUUUCCCUAUAAUCUCACAUGACAGAAAGAGUAAGAGAAUUGUCUGGGUUCUCUUUAAUACAGUCACUAAUCACAUUCUUGAGACCUCUGCUCUCAUUACAUAAUCACUUCCUCAAGGCCCCAACUCUAAAUACCAUCACAUUGGUGCACAUGUUUCAACAUAUGAAUUUUGGAGGGGACACAAACGUUUUGGUCUAUAGCAGCAUCUAUUGCUGUCACUUGCAGUUAGUACCUCAAAUUAUUCUGUAGAUAAGCUGAACCUUUCAUGUUCUGUCAUUGCUUGUGUUUUU
rnacentral:lncRNA from 10 species